rnacentral:tRNA from 1 species
GCCACCUUAGCUCAGUCGGUAGAGCAACUGAUUCGUAAUCAGUAGGGCAGCGGUUCGAUUCCGCUAGGUGGCUCCA